UGGCGGCUGCCUACACAUGCAGUCGAGCGGUAGCACAGAGAGCUUGCUCUCGGGUGACGAGCGGCGGACGGGUGAGUAAUGUCUGGGAAACUGCCUGAUGGAGGGGGAUAACUACUGGAAACGGUAGCUAAUACCGCAUAACGUCGCAAGACCAAAGUGGGGGACCUUCGGGCCUCAUGCCAUCAGAUGUGCCCAGAUGGGAUUAGCUAGUAGGUGGGGUAACGGCUCACCUAGGCGACGAUCCCUAGCUGGUCUGAGAGGAUGACCAGCCACACUGGAACUGAGACACGGUCCAGACUCCUACGGGAGGCAGCAGUGGGGAAUAUUGCACAAUGGGCGCAAGCCUGAUGCAGCCAUGCCGCGUGUGUGAAGAAGGCCUUCGGGUUGUAAAGCACUUUCAGCGGGGAGGAAGGCGAUAAGGUUAAUAACCUUGUCGAUUGACGUUACCCGCAGAAGAAGCACCGGCUAACUCCGUGCCAGCAGCCGCGGUAAUACGGAGGGUGCAAGCGUUAAUCGGAAUUACUGGGCGUAAAGCGCACGCAGGCGGUCUGUCAAGUCGGAUGUGAAAUCCCCGGGCUCAACCUGGGAACUGCAUUCGAAACUGGCAGGCUAGAGUCUUGUAGAGGGGGGUAGAAUUCCAGGUGUAGCGGUGAAAUGCGUAGAGAUCUGGAGGAAUACCGGUGGCGAAGGCGGCCCCCUGGACAAAGACUGACGCUCAGGUGCGAAAGCGUGGGGAGCAAACAGGAUUAGAUACCCUGGUAGUCCACGCCGUAAACGAUGUCGAUUUGGAGGUUGUGCCCUUGAGGCGUGGCUUCCGGAGCUAACGCGUUAAAUCGACCGCCUGGGGAGUACGGCCGCAAGGUUAAAACUCAAAUGAAUUGACGGGGGCCCGCACAAGCGGUGGAGCAUGUGGUUUAAUUCGAUGCAACGCGAAGAACCUUACCUGGUCUUGACAUCCACAGAACUUUCCAGAGAUGGAUUGGUGCCUUCGGGAACUGUGAGACAGGUGCUGCAUGGGCUGUCGUCAGCUCGUGUUGUGAAAUGUUGGGUUAAGUCCCGCAACGAGCGCAACCCUUAUCCUUUGUUGCCAGCGGUUCCGGCCGGGAACUCAAAGGAAACUGCCAGUGAUAAACUGGA
rnacentral:rRNA from 1 species